CCCAGCCCUUUCACUGAAAGACUUAGCUUGCCGGUUGCUAUGCAGCAUAGCAGAAGAACACAAAACAGACAGUGGGAAGGGUUUCAGGACCUUACAGCGUAAAGCGACGGGAGAAGUGAUGGAUUGACUCACCCAGGCCCAAAUCUGAUAAAAAUUAUGUCACCGACAUAGCCAGGGGCAAGUGAACCAACUUCCCCGAAUCUCCGUCUAGCCGUCUGAAUAAUAAAGCCAUAUUUGGGGAAAGCUAUUUGGCUGAAGUCAUCAAAAUCUAAAAUGCAGUCACCUUUUCACCACAGAGGAACUCCCGUGAAGAACUAUGGUCAGGAAUGCUCGGACUUCAACACUCCGGGAGGGUCCUGAUAACACCGUUUACAUUGCUCCUGCUAUUAACUAAAUAAGUGGAAGCCCAUUCAACGUGCAACCUACUUCCGCUGCUGCAGAGUGUUAACCCUGUCAUGACUUCAAAAGGCAUCAAAUGAAUGACACUGGGAAAGGCAGGGGCCGCGUUGGCAAUGAGGGCGCCCCAACCUGGACCUCCUGACCUCCGGGCUGGUGGGUCUUGGGGAGUGGGGACUUGGGCUGUAGGUGGUCAUUCACCAGGGUUCCCAUCUCUCUAUCCCACAAGUGGGCAGUGAGUUGGGGGUGAAUGGGAAGACACUAUCAUCCUUCUACUACGUCCACAGAGAUGACUUGGGCCAAGACCCUCGAAUCCAUCUUGCCCUCCCUAGGGACUCCGUGCCCAAUGAGUCUGAGUCUUGUCAACCUGAGCAUGACGUACUGCUUGUACUAGCUCAGGACAUGGGCUAGUCCUGAUGGGGAAUGUUCUGUGUAUUUGUGUAUAUGUUUAUCUUAUUGGUUGAUGAAUAAAACACUGUGAGCCCUC